rnacentral:rRNA from 1 species
GACGAACGCUGGCGGCGUGCUUAACACAUGCAAGUGGAGCGACGAACCAGGGCUUGCCCUGGGGCAAAGCCGCGAACGGGUGAGUAACACGUGGGUUACCUGCCCCGAUGAUCGGGACAACCCGGGGAAACCCGGGCUAAUACCGAAUGUGCUCGUGGUCGUGAUGACCUCGAGGAAAGGAAGCUUCGGCCUCCGCAUCGGGAUGGGCCCGCGGCCCAUUAGCUUGUUGGUGGGGUAACGGCCUACCAAGGCGACGAUGGGUAGCUGGUCUGAGAGG